UUCUAAAGAGUUCCUUUUCUCUUCUUGAAUAUAAGCCAUUUAACAAUGUGAGACAUGCCUUUUGUGGUUAUUUGUAACAUCCUGUAUGUUUCUGGAGUACUUUGAUGCCUUGGAUUGGACGCUCACUUAAAAGAUGAACUUUUGAGGGUGUGUUUUCUAUUGUGUGGGGCUUUUGUCGAAAUUAGGAUUCCGAAACACGUUUUUCUACGGUGGGUUCAUUCGACAGCGAUUUACUUUCUUAGAAAUUGCGAGACGGUAUGUUUUUGAUUGCAAUUAUUGGAAGAUGACAGAUCCAUCUUUAAAAUGAUACCAGGUUCGGAAAAAUUGAUACGUCGGAAAGGCAAGAAAAAUGCUGUGAAAGUUGUCAGUUUUAUAAUGGGACCCUAUGGGAAUCGGAAUAAGUGUAAUAUAACCUUUAAAAAGCACAUUUACUGCAAUGUCAAGGUCACAUGGAUUCGUCUGCAAGCGAGACAAGUAGAAAAUGAAUUUUAAUGAAUGUUUUGAUGAUUUGGGAGCUAAAAUAGAUGAGAGAUGUCAAUAUUUUGGUCCAAAUGGAUGUUUUAGGUGGUUUUGGACUGUUCCGGAUGGGUGGGGGACCUGGUAUGGACAAGUAAGGGUAACAUUUCCAACAAAUCUUGAAUGUAAAUAUUAUUUUGUCCAUAGAUUGAAGUUUCAGGUGGAGAGCAAGAUGAAAAAUAUGCCAAAUUACAUGCAUGCAACCCAUUUAUGCCAUUUUUCUCUUUGUUUGUAGGCCUGACCGUUUGUCCUUGAGCCGUAGAUGGUCAACAAUCCGCUAGCUGUCUUGCUCUGACUGGUGCACUGGACAUGAUUUCAAUAGUCAGCCAGACCAUGAUUGAGCUUAAGGAUGGUGCUGCGGAUGCAGCCUGUGCAGUUCCGGGAGAAAGUCACUGUCUUGGGCAAUGCGGUCUGGUAUCAGGUCUGGAUGAUCCUUGCCUGACUGCGGGUUUGUGUACACCUCAAUCCGACUCUGUGUCCUGAACAGAGGCCGCAGUGGUGCAGCGCUUGUGGACGAUCCAUCAACAUCCUGAAAGGUCAACACUACACCAAGCUGGGAAAAUUGAUCCUGAUAGUCAUCCCCAGGUAGUGGAAUGAAUGUACACUGAACUACAGAGGAAUCAAACCCAAAUGACUUUCCUGCCACGACAUUAGUGUGGCCACUCGCGUAGGAAUUCCUUAGCAAACAUGCUCUUUUGCAUGGUGACUGUGGGCAUUUUUGCAAAACUUACGCUUUCAACACUGGAUUUUAAAGAGAAUACUUAAUAAAAUGUCGCUAACAGGACUUAUUUAUAUGAGAGAGACUAUCUGGAUGCGCAUUAAGUGCC